AGAAUCAACGCUGGCGGCGUGCCUAACACAUGCAAGUCGAACGAGAAAGUGGAGCAAUCCAUGAGUAAAGUGGCGACCGGGUGAGUAACACGUGACUACCUACCCUUGAGUGGGGGAUAACCUCGGGAAACCGAGGCUAAUACCGCAUAAUAUCGAAAGAUCAAAGGAGUAAUCCGCUUUUGGAGGGGGUCGCGGCUGAUUAGCUAGUUGGUAGGGUAAUGGCCUACCAAGGCGAAGAUCGGUAUCCGGCCUGAGAGGGCGCACGGACACACUGGAACUGAAACACGGUCCAGACUCCUACGGGAGGCAGCAGUGGGGAAUUUUGCGCAAUGGGGGAAACCCUGACGCAGCAACGCCGCGUGGAGGAUGAAGUCCCUUGGGACGUAAACUCCUUUCGAUCGGGACGAUUAUGACGGUACCGGAAGAAGAAGCCCCGGCUAACUUCGUGCCAGCAGCCGC
rnacentral:rRNA from 1 species